rnacentral:rRNA from 1 species
UACGAGGGGUGCAAGCGUUGCUCGGAAUUAUUGGGCGUAAAGGGCAGGUAGGUGGUCUCGUUUGUCUGAGGUGAAAGCCUUGGGCUUAACUCAAGAAGUGCCUCAGAAACGGCGAGACUAGAGUACUGGAGAGGGUCGUGGAAUACCCGGUGUAGCGGUGAAAUGCGUAGAGAUCGGGUGGAACACCAGUGGCGAAGGCGGCUCACUGGCCCGGUACUGACGCUCAUGUGCGAAAGCGUGGGGAGCAAACAGG